rnacentral:lncRNA from 1 species
GUCGUAAAGGAGGGGGUGUCUUCUUAGCAAUAUCAGUUGAUAUCUUGUCAUCAGAACAACCAGAACUAGACACAAAUUGUGAAUUACUAUGGGCAAAAGUAGAUAUAAUUGGAGUAAAAUCAAUCUACAUUGGGGCUUAUUAUAAACCACAGGAAAACGACACUGAAAGUGUCGCUGAACUAAGCAGAUCAUUACAAAGAAUACCAACACACAGUAAUAUCUGGCUACUUGGAGAUUUCAACCUCCCUAAUUAUGACUGGGUUAAACAAGAACUGAAACCAAAUUGUAAAUUUACAAAUACAUAUAAUAACUUUUUUGAUAUCAUGAAUGAUCAUAAUCUUGAACAGGUUGUACAUAUACCAACAAGACAGGAAAACACACUAGAUCUGUUUUACAUAAACCAACCUUCACUCGUACAAAACAUAAAAACACUACCAAGUCUCGGAACAUCAGACCAUGACAUUGUCUUCCAUGAAAUGAACAUCACAAUGGGUAGAAAAAAGAAAACACCAAGAAAAAUAAGUCAAUACAAAAAAGCAGACUGGGACAAAAUACGCAUAGAAGUAAAAAAAUUCCAAGACGAAUACUUUUCUCUAACACUAACUAAUAACACCACAGAAGAAAAGUGGACACUGAUCAAAAACAAAAUACAAGAAAUAACAGACAAAAAUAUUCCAUCAAAAAUAAUGAAACAAAAACAAGAUAUUCCUUGGUUAACACCAGAAAUAAAGAGACUUAUAAGAAAAAGAGACAGAAUACAUAAGAAAAUAAAGGCAACAAAAUCAGAAAAAAAAUCGGAUACCAUCAAAAAGCACCGAUCCUUAAAACACCAAGUACAACAAAAGCUUAGAACAUCAUAUUGGAACUAUAUAGAAAACAUUAUAAUUGAAGACAGCAAACUGAAAGAUAGUAAACCAAGCAAAAAGUUUUGGUCAUUCAUAAAAAACCAAAAAAGUGAAAAUAUGGGUGUAUCCCCACUAAAGGUAAACGGUAUUACAAAAACAAACCCCAAGAUCAGGCUGAAGCACUAAACCAUCAGUUUCACUCAGCAUUUACCACACCAAAACCUUUGAAAUUAUCUCACAUUUGUGAACUAAAAUCAUUAAAAUCAGAAACACAUAAAUUCGAAAUGAAGCAAAUAAACAUCACCCCAGAAGGAACAUCUAAAUUACUAAAAAACUUAAACCCAUCAAAAGCAAUUGGACCAGACAAGAUAUCACCUCAUUUUCUAAAAGAAGUUCAUCAUGAAAUCUCACCUAUAAUAUCUGACUUGUUUAACUCAUCAGUAAAUACAGGCACAGUACCAAACGACUGGAGAGAGGCCUUGGUUACACCAGUUUUCAAAAAGGGAGCAAAAUCUAAACCUGAAAACUAUAGGCCCAUCUCUCUAACCUGUAUUCUUAGUAAAUCACUAGAACAUAUAAUUGUAUCAUCCAUAAUGAAACAUCUAGACAUUCACGAUUUACUAUACCCACUGCAGCAUGGUUUUAGAUCAAAAGUUAGCUGUGAAACACAACUUUUAACUUUUACACAGCAAAUACUUGAUUACAUGGCAAACGGUAAACAAACUGACGUAGUUGUCAUGGAUUUUUCAAAAGCGUUUGAUAAGGUGGACCACCAAAGACUUAUCCUAAAACUGAAACGCAUGGGAAUAAAUAACAAAACAACAAAUUGGAUAGAGGCAUGGUUAUCACAUAGAUCCCAAAAAGUGGUGGUUGACAGUCGCACAUCAAAUAGUUGUCCUGUAUUGUCAGGCGUCCCCCAAGGCUCUGUUCUCGGGCCAUGUCUGUUCUUAAUUUACAUCAAUGACAUGCCAGACAACCUCAAAAGUAAUGUUCGCCUCUUUGCAGAUGACACUAUUGUGUAUCUAACAAUUUCAUCAUUAGAUGACUGUCACACCCUUCAAUCAGACCUACAUAAACUGGAACAAUGGGAGCAAGAAUGGCUUAUGUCCUUUAACCCAGACAAAUGUGAAAUCAUCCACAUAACAAGAAAACAUAAACCAAUCAUCUAUAAAUACACAUUACAUAAUCAUAUUCUAAAAUCAACAAACAAAGCAAAAUAUCUUGGCGUUUCCAUCACAAAAGACCUGACAUGGAACUCUCAUAUAAAUGACAUCACAAACAAAGCAAACGCAUCACUGAGAUUUAUUAAAAGAAAUGUAAAAAAACAAACAGCAUAAAAACAAAAGAACUGGCUUACAAAACAUACGUAAGACCAAAAAUAGAAUACUGUAGUGUCGUCUGGGACCCGUGGCAGAAACAACAAAUACAUAAAAUUGAAAUGGUACAGAGAAGAGCUGCCAGGUAUACACUCAACCAAUACAGCUAUCAAAGCAGUGUAACAGCCAUGCUUGAACAUCUAAGAUGGCCAACAUUACAACAAAGAAGAAAUCUUGCAUCCGUCACCAUGCUAUAUAAAAUCCAACACCAAUUAGUCUCCAUCCCAGUAAAUACAUACCUAAUACCAUCUAAGGAACAUAAAUUUAUACAGCCAUUCUCUCCCACAAACUAUCAUUUAUAUUCAUUUUUUUCCUAGAACAAUAAGGUUGUGGAAUUCCCUACCAUACCAAGUAGCCUGUAGCCCAGACUUAGAAGCUUUUAAGUCUGGUGCAAAACCACAUAUGUACUGCUAAACCAAACCAUGUUUUUAUCUAUAUACAAAAAAAUUUUAAAAAAAAAAAAUGUUUUUUGAAAUUAAUGUAAAUAUGUUUAGUUAAUUUGUUUCCCUAGUAUGUGCCUUCUUGUAAUCUUCAACAUAUUGAAGUUAAGAA